AAUAUUGGGACAUGUAAAAAAGACAACUCUGUUCCGCAGAGUAGCUGUUGACAUUAUAGUUGCGCGGGCACUUUGUUGACUCUAGAGAACCUCAGGCCAAUGGCACAUCCCCGUGAUGGCGACUUUGCAUUUGGAUGUCAUCCAUAUCAACUUUCAAUGCCAGUUUCUGCGCCUACCAUGGUGACCAACGGGUAAUGGGGAAUCAGGGUUCCAUUCCAUACAGGGACCCUGAGAAAUGUUUACCACAUGCAAGGAAGGCAGCAGGCGUGCAAAUGACCCACUCCAGACGUGGGAAGGUAGUGA